rnacentral:rRNA from 1 species
UGGGGAAUAUUGGACAAUGGGCGAAAGCCUGAUCCAGCCAUGCCGCGUGUGUGAAGAAGGCCUUUUGGUUGUAAAGCACUUUAAGUGGGGAGGAAAAGCUUAUGGUUAAUACCCAUAAGCCCUGACGUUACCCACAGAAUAAGCACCGGCUAACUCUGUGCCAGCAGCCGCGGUAAUACAGAGGGUGCAAGCGUUAAUCGGAAUUACUGGGCGUAAAGCGCGCGUAGGUGGUUAUUUAAGUCAGAUGUGAAAGCCCCGGGCUUAACCUGGGAACUGCAUCUGAUACUGGAUAACUAGAGUAGGUGAGAGGGGAGUAGAAUUCCAGGUGUAGCGGUGAAAUGCGUAGAGAUCUGGAGGAAUACCGAUGGCGAAGGCAGCUCCCUGGCAUCAUACUGACACUGAGGUGCGAAAGCGUGGGUAGCAAACAGGAUUAGAUACCCUGGUAGUCCACGCCGUAAACGAUGUCUACCAGUCGUUGGGUCUUUUAAAGACUUAGUGACGCAGUUAACGCAAUAAGUAGACCGCCUGGGGAGUACGGCCGCAGGGUUA